UACGUAGGGGGCAAGCGUUGUCCGGAUUUAUUGGGCGUAAAGAGCGUGUAGGCGGCUUGGUAGGUCCGCUGUGAAAACUCGAGGCUCAACCUCGAGACGCCGGUGGAAACCAUCAGGCUAGAGUCCGGAAGAGGAGAGUGGAAUUCCUGGUGUAGCGGUGAAAUGCGCAGAUAUCAGGAAGAACACCCGUGGCUAAGGCGGCUCUCUAGUACGGUACUGACGCUGAGACGCGAAAGCGUGGGGAGCAAACAGG
rnacentral:rRNA from 1 species